UGCUAAAGCGACCAGAAGGCUCUCAGUAAAAAGUAUUCACUAGGUAUCAAUAGAAUCUGCAAAACGAAGAGGUGCUUGAAAGAUGUGAAAGAGGAAACUUAAAGAGAAACCCAGAUGGUACAUCUCUCUUCCUGGCUAGGAUAGAUGGAAUGUACAGCCAGAGGAUUGGAUGAGGUCAUCGACGGAGAGAAUGCAGAGAGAAUCCUGGGGCUCACCAACAUGAAGAAUUUGGGACAAGAAAGAAGAUCCAGCAGAGAAGACUGAAAGAAGGCAACUAAUGAAAUAGGAGAGAACCUGGAGAGCACAGAGUCUUAGAGGCCAAGAAAGUGGUUUAAUAUAAUCCGUAUCAAAGCAUUUGUGGUUUAUUUUUGUUAACUGACAAAAGGAUUCUAAAACAUACCUGAAAAGUAUAAUUCACACCUAGGAUAAUGGAUCAUUCUGUCACAUUGUUCCUUUUUCACAGCUGAUAUGAACAUGAUAUUUUCAUGACUU
rnacentral:lncRNA from 1 species